rnacentral:lncRNA from 1 species
CAGGAGAACACCAGUCAGCCCCAAGAAGCUUUAUGGAGUUCUUUGUACUAAGGAACAGUGGGGUGUACCCCUUACAGCAAGGAGUCUCUUCUGGAAUAAAAAGGAAGUCAAAUAUUCAGAAAACAAUGAUGAAGAAUAAAAUCAAAAAUUAUUUAAAGUCCUAGAAAAAAAAGCAUGGUAAUCUGAAUAUGACUUCAUCAGCUGAUAUUCCAAUACAGUGUCCUUUAUGUGUUUUCAACACCGUCGGUAUUUUAAAAGGCAUGUCAUCCCUCAAGAUUUCCCUUCUUUGUCCCCAUUAUUCAAUGUCAUGGUAGGAAAAUGAGAGCAUUACCAUCAAUAUUACUUUUUUAAUUCCAUGUCCUUGAAUAAGGGCAAUAAGAACCCUGCAUAAUAGAGUUUUCAGCAGGGAGAGUAAAUGGGAAUCGGUUGUUAAUUCGAUACAGGAUACAGAAGCUGACUCUCCCCUCUCUGUUCUCAAGGUAAUACUGUGCCUCCAAUUGUCAUUAUACCCAAGAAUCAAAUUAUUGGAAUUCUGGACACAUCAGCACAAAACCGAAGACUCCCUGCCAAUUUCGUAGCCUGCUUGGAAGAGAACAUCAUAGAGCAUCACUCAUUUAUACGACUGCCAGCCUGAGAUUGUAAAUUCAGAAAACAAGAAGGCCUCAGGUGCUGCACUUUAACACGUCUUUCUGCUCCUGAAUCGCCCCCCUCCUCACUACCCCCACGUACAAGGAGGUGCGAGCACUGAAUUCCCCAGGAAUUCUUGGAGCUGGACCAGCAGUGAGUUUGACCCAACGUGCAUGAGAAGCGUGUUGUUCAGCUGAUAAGGGAGCCGAGAACAUGCAUCAGCAAACACAGUUUGUUUAUCCCGUAAUAACUGGUUUUGAGUAGUACAGCAAAAAGUGGCUGGGUCUGCACGAGGCAGAUAAGAGCUCCUACCAAAAGGACGAGCAAAGGGCACAUGAGGCUUCCUGGAAACUUCAAAAGAGAAGCCUUCAGUGGGAAUGGAUGACUAAGGGAAUUGCAAAGGGUUUCUGGAGUCUUUUAUCUUUGCACUACCUCUUCAAAUCUGGCUCAACACUUCAGUAAUUUAUUGUUGCCGUCAUCUGAUGAAUGUUCACUGGGCUCAGGCUUUCUCGUACCGCACAGGUGUUCAGAGCCAAAAACCCCACUGCUGGAACCGCAGCCAGUGGUCGUCUUGUUAAGAAUCUCAGCUAACAACCCAAAGAGGGAACAUGUGGAGCUGAAAAGUGAGCUGCUAUCUGGUUCAUACAGAUGGCUUUUUUCAGGUGUGAAAGAAUCAGUAGUAGCAGCAUUUUCGAAGGGGCACACGAUUGUUCUCCAUUCUCCUCAAGCAAAGAGAGGCUUUUAGAGCUUCUAGGCAAAUGCAAAAGCUGCAUCUACACAACCGGGUUCCCCACACCUCCCACAAGAGCAUGGAGUAUUUCUCCAACGCUUAUUUUCAUUGGGG